AUUGAACGCUGGCGGCAGGCCUAACACAUGCCAGUCGAACGGUAACAGGAAGCAGCUUGCUGCUUUGCUGACGAGUGGCGGACGGGUGAGUAAUGUCUGGGAAACUGCCUGAUGGAGGGGGAUAACUACUGGAAACGGUAGCUAAUACCGCAUAACGUCGCAAGACCAAAGAGGGGGACCUUCGGGCCUCUUGCCAUCGGAUGUGCCCAGAUGGGAUUAGCUAGUAGGUGGGGUAAAGGCUCACCUAGGCGACGAUCCCUAGCUGGUCUGAGAGGAUGACCAGCCACACUGGAACUGAGACACGGUCCAGACUCCUACGGGAGGCAGCAGUGGGGAAUAUUGCACAAUGGGCGCAAGCCUGAUGCAGCCAUGCCGCGUGUAUGAAGAAGGCCUUCGGGUUGUAAAGUACUUUCAGCGGGGAGGAAGGGAGUAAAGUUAAUACCUUUGCUCAUUGACGUUACCCGCAGAAGAAGCACCGGCUAACUCCGUG
rnacentral:rRNA from 1 species